rfam:Ictidomys tridecemlineatus contig046338, whole genome shotgun sequence.
GGGUUUGUGGCUCAGUGGUACAGCACUUAUCUAGUAUGCAUGAGGCCCUGGGUUCAAGUCCCAGCACCA